rnacentral:rRNA from 1 species
CCUACGGGAGGCAGCAGUGGGGGAAUCUUGCGCAAUGGGCGAAAGCCUGACGCAGCAACGCCGCGUGCGGGAUGACGGCCUUCGUGGUUGUAAACCGCUUUCAGCAGGGACGAAAAUGACGGUACCUGCAGAAGAAGCCCCGGCUAACUACGUGC